AGCACUCGGCCAUGGAAAAGAAGAAGAAUGACAAGAGUAAGAGCAUUCACGACAUCCUCCCUCUUGAGCUUAUUCACAGAAUUCUACUGCGGGUGCCGAUCAGACAUCUCGCUCGCCUCAGGUGCGUUUCCAAGCUGUGGUGCUCUCUAAUUUCUGAUCCUGACUUUGCGGAAUUUCAUUUUCACCACUCUCCCGCUGCCACCAACGCAUGCUUCUUCAUAGAAAACCCCACUAUAGCUUACUUGGUUUACUUAGACGACAAUGAUGCAUCACAAAAAGAGGUGCGUCCCCCUUUCAAGAAGAAUCCACCUUAUGAUUUUGCGGUCUUGGGAUCCUGCAGAGGCUUUAUUCUCUUGGAUCGACACCCACAUUUUGUUAUGGUAUGGAACCCACUUACUGGAUUCAGCAAAAGAAUAUCCUAUUCUCAUAUUGUUCCUUGCCGUAAGUACCGUGACUUUAGGCUUACCUACAGUGCGCGUCUGCAUGGAUUUGGUUAUGAUGCAUCACAGGAUGAUUACUUACUUCUUGUAGCUUGGAGCGAUUGCGGAGGACAAUAUCAUUUGGAUUGCUUUUCCUUGAGAACCAAUUCAUGGAUUAAUCUUGAUGUUGCACUUCCCAAACCCUUGGGUGUUUUUGACAGCUUUUCUUGUGGGUUGUUCAUGAACGGUGCUAUUCAUUGGCUGCCUUUCUCUCUUACAGCUCUUACAUCUUACAGGGAUGCUAUUCUUAUAUUUGAUAUGAAGGAGAGGACUUUCUCAAGGAUACCUGGGCCGGAACAACCUAUAAUGAGUGCAUGCUCCUAUCCAAGACUCGCCCUUCUAGGAGGCUGCCUAGCCUUGUAUUAUCGCAAUAAUGAUAGCUGUAACACUCACAUAUGGGUGAUGAAAGAAUAUAAAGUGCACUCAUAUUGGACUCUCUAUCAAAUUCCUUACAAAUUCUUUCGGCCAUUGUGCUUAUCCAGUAAUGGUGAUAUUAUUGGAAGAGGUUAUACUUCGAAUUAUAAAGUAGGGUACUUCAUUUAUAAUGUCAGACAAGACCUGCUCAAGCAUCUUAAAAAUCUUUGUUGUCCACUUCCCAUCCAUCAAGCCGAUACUAUGUAUACAGAGAGUCUCUUGCCACUCCCGAGUGACAUUAAGGAUAAUGAUAAUAAGGAGAAGGAGGAGGAGGAAAAUGGUAUGUAAACUAUUCUCCUAUGCUUUGCACCAAUCUAUUCCUGUUAGUUUUCAUUGCAUUGUGAUUAAUAAAAAUGUAAUGAGCAAUAUGCAUUUUGCAUCAAGUUCCAAUCAAAUGUGACUUGUAUAUGGAUGGUGAAAUUUGAUUUUAUCAAUGCUUAGGGAAUCAUUGAUCACGGUCUUGGUUCCUAAAGUCUGGUCUUGUGGUGAGGGGUUUUAACUUUUAAGUUAUUUCUUUUUUCAUGUGUAAUGCAAGGUGAUCUUUUCUGAAGGCCAUAGCCAUCAGAAUAAAAAAGAUGUCAAACAAGGAGAGAGAAUUUGGAGAGAUUGACUGAACUACUGAGACACUUAAUUCUAUUGUAAAUAAAGUGUAGGAUUGACAAGUUGAGUUGGAAGAAGCAUCUAGAGAAUUUUAUUUUAUUUUGCUUUUACUUUAGAGUAUGAUUU